ensembl:snRNA U6 U6 spliceosomal RNA
GUGCUUGCUUCGGCAGCACAUAUACUAAAAUUUGAACGAUAUAGAGAAGAUUAGCAUGGCCCCUGUGCAAGGAUGACACGCAAAUUUGUGAAGCGUUCCAUAUUUUC